rnacentral:misc_RNA from 1 species
UCCGAGUUGACCCCGGCAGUCUCCCAUGAGUCCCCGCCAUUACGCGCUGGCAACAUGGAACGAGGGUUGCGCUCGUUGCGGGACUUAACCCAACAUCUCACGACACGAGCUGACAACAACCAUGCACCACCUGUGAACCGGCCCCAAAGGGGAAACCACAUUUCUGCGGCGGUCCGGUCCAUGUCAAGCCUAGGUAAGGUUCUUCGCGUUGCGUCGAAUUAAACCACAUGCUCCACCGCUUGUGCGGGCCCCCGUCAAUUCCUUUGAGUUUUAGCCUUGCGGCCGUACUCCUCAGGCGGGGUGCUUAAUGCGUUAGCUUCGGCACGGGGGGAGUCGACACCCCCCACACCUAGCACCCAUCGUUUACGGCGUGGACUAC